rnacentral:rRNA from 1 species
AGGACGAACGCUGGCGGCGUGCUUAACACAUGCAAAUCGAACGGAAAGGCCCUUUCGGGGGUACUCGAGCGGCGAACGGGUGAGUAACACGUGAGUAAUCUGCCCCUAGCUCUGGGAUAGCUCCGGGAAACCGGGAUUAAUACCAGAUACAACCACUUUAGACAUCUCUUGUGGUGGAAAGAAUUUCGGCUAGGGAUGAACUCGCGGCCUAUCAGCUUGUUGGUGAGGUAACGGCUCACCAAGGCGACGACGGGUA